rnacentral:rRNA from 1 species
UACGUAGGGGGCGAGCGUGUUCGGACGUGUACUGGGCGUAAAGGGCAUGCAGGCGGUCGGACGCGUUUCGGGUGACAGCGGGUGGCUUAACUACCCGAGUGGUCGAAAGACGGUUUGACUUGAGGACGCGAGAGGGACACGGAAUUCCGGGUGGAGUGGUGAAAUGCGUAGAGAUCCGGAGGAACACCGAAGGCGAAGGCAGUGUCCUGGCGCGUAACUGACGCUGAGGUGCGAAAGCCAGGGGAGCGAACGGG